AGCCUUACAGUGACUCGCUGAUGGCUCGGCAGUGUUUGUAGAGGGGAGGAGAGAUGGAGCGAGCGGCAGUGGAAACGUUGGGGUGUGCGCAGGCGUAGUGAGCUAUUCUUUCCUUUAUGAUACGGAGUGGGGCCUUCUCUGGCUCUAGAACCUAAAGAACAGGCAGUAUGUGACUCAGGGGCUGCAAAUGGCUAAAGAUCAGUGUUACCUGAGCUUUGCAGCAACAGGCAUGGAGCAGCAGAUCACCGAUCGGACAGUGAGUAGGCAGAUCUGUGUAUCCUGUGGACUCCUUCGGAUUUGGUGGACUACUUCGACGACCAGCGUUUUUCUUUGCUUGAUGUUAAUAAAAUGGUUAACGAGGGCUUGUGGGGG